rnacentral:rRNA from 1 species
UACAGGUGGGAUUGCGUUUUGAAAUAAUUAUUAUGGCAGUUAAGUGUAAUAAGGUGGCUGUGGUUAAUAAAAAUUAGCUAGAGUUUUAGAGAAGAGUUAGAGGAAUAAUCAAAGGAAGGAUGAAAUCUUUAGAUAUUGAUUAGAACAUCAAUGGCGACAGCAUCACUCUAUCUUUAGACUGACACUGAAUUUACUAAAGUAUGGGUAGCAAAUCGG